CUUCAAGUAGGAAACCUCAAAUCUUCAACUCUUCAAUUUCAUCCCAACCUUGCGUUCCAAGCAUGUCCUUUUCACUUCAAGCUCACUUUCUGCUCCAAAAGCUCCAAAUUGCAUCAUUUCAUGUAAUACGUCCGCUAAACCUGAAAACACAAGAAAGUAGCUUAAAAGACUACUUUAACGAAGAAAACAUAACAAAGAUGCAUAAGAACUAGCUAACUAAGGCGCAUAAAUAUGCUCCUAUCAGACUCCAAGCAUGUGAUAUCCAUUUUAUGCUCAAAACUGCUUUAAAAGGCUCCAAUUGCACUUUCUCGCCAACUUUGUCAUUUGGACCUACAAACACACGAAAAUAGCUUAAAACACUAUAAUAACCACAAACUAACUAUAAAAGUGCAAGAAAACAAGCUAACUAAGUUGCAUAAAUAUGCUCCUAUCAACCCUUCUCCUAUAGGGUUGAGGUGCGAUGUCAGGUAAAAGUAUAUUAAUUUUAAAAUUUUAUUUUAUUAUUAUUGAUUAAUAACAUUUCUUAAUUUUUUUUUCUUUAGGAGGGUUCUAAGUUCCUAAAGCUCGA
rnacentral:lncRNA from 1 species